AUUAUUGACGAUAAAGUACAACCUCUCGUACCUUAUUGCUUAAAUGUUCUCUUUAUAUGUUUUAAAUAUUACAAAAAAUAGGGGUGGUCUUUUAUUUUUGUCGUGUACAGCAGUGUGUGCAUGUUAUUACCUUUACUUGUGUGUUUUAGUUUAGUUUCAAGUCCCUUUGUCUCAAUAGACAUUACUGCUCGGGGUGAAAGUCGUCUUUGGUCCGAUUCAGACUGGAUGUGUUCAGUGUUCAAGGACUGAUAAUGUGCACUUGACGUUCGCUACUUGACAGCAUAGUUAGCAUGUGGUAGCUAAAACAAUCAGUCUGUAAUACGUGAAGAAAAACCCCAGUGGUGCGGCUUAUAUUCAGGUGCGCUCUAUAGUCCAGAAUAGUUUUGUUGGUCUGUGUUUGCGUUUGGCUCCACCACCACACCCUGCAGCAAUGCCAGCUUCUGUUUUGGGGGGGAAAUAAAAAGUGUAGGUUGAGAGGGUGAUUGCCACAGAGAAUGAACAUGAAAUGGAGGAGCAGCUCGACCCACAGAACCUCAGUGGACAAAGACGUUGCACACUGACAUAUUUGACGGUGCAGAAACAAACUGCUGCUUUAGCAGCAAAAUAACACAAUGUGACCACAGAAUACCAAGCACAGGAAAUAUGUUGCACGGUGGGAAAACAGUUGUCAUUAACCUCUGGCUGGUGCAGGGGGAGACGGGGGAGACGGGAGCAGCAGAGUGACUGUGCUUUAAUAUCAAAGAGACGUCACCCUUCUGUUUGUUAUUAUGAAGUACAGUAUCCACAGGCAGAACACCCCUCCUGGGCCGGGGGGUUUUAAUAAAGCCUUACAUUUACUCAAGUGCACAAACACAUUCCAGGGUGCUCCAAAGAGUGCUGAGCUUAUAGUAAAAUAAAUGAUGAGAGGACUCUACUGCAUUAAGCCACGAUCAAAGGGCAAACUUUUGAUAUAUCACUUUUCUUUCAUGAUUACAUUAUUUUACCAUUCUAGCAGGGCAUUGUUUCAACAAAUCUUUCAACGUGACCAAGCUUCUCUUCGUUCAAGAGGCCUUGACUUUAUUUUGGUUUUGGAAAGACUAUGGAUGACAGAAGUCAUGUACGUUUUUUUAUAAUUCCAAUAUCACCAGCGGAUUGUCAGAAACUCUAGGCAAAGAGAUAAAUUAAAAAAAGGUACGGCCUGGGUGGUGGGGUGGGUGGGCUCGACCGAGGGGGGUUGUCGAAAUUGCCGUGACCUGGUUGAUUUGAGAACUAGACUCCAUGAUCAAAAAGGCCUUUUCGA
ensembl:lncRNA